UACGAAGGGGGCUAGCGUUGCUCGGAAUCACUGGGCGUAAAGGGUGCGUAGGCGGGUCUUUAAGUCAGGGGUGAAAUCCUGGAGCUCAACUCCAGAACUGCCUUUGAUACUGAAGAUCUUGAGUUCGGGAGAGGUGAGUGGAACUGCGAGUGUAGAGGUGAAAUUCGUAGAUAUUCGCAAGAACACCAGUGGCGAAGGCGGCUAACUGGUCCAGAUCUGACGCUGAGGUGCGAAAGCGUGGGGAGCAAACAGG
rnacentral:rRNA from 1 species